rnacentral:pre_miRNA from 1 species
UCUUAUGGAUGAGCAAAGAAUGUAGUUUCUUGAAAUGGAAUCUACUCUGGUGAAAAUGCUAUGAA